AACUCAGGUGACUUCCUGUAAAUGAGGUGUACUUGAGGGAGGGGCUCAUGUUUCACAGGUAGCAGGAAGAGAAGAGAAACUCUGAAGAACGAGCGAAUUAAAUCAAGUCUCUCUACGAGUUGAAGGCCAGAAGAUGAAAGAUCAGGACAGAGCAGAACCUCCAGGACCCAUCAGUCCAUCUAUGAGGAGCGACUUGUCCAAAGAUCAUCCUCCAGUGUUCAGUAAUGAACCUGAACCAUCAGACAGAAAGAGCUGUGAGUGUGAAGAAAGACCCAGAACAGGAGCUGAACGGCCGAC